GUGAAUCAUCGAAUUUUUGAACGCAAAUUGCGCCUUUUUCGGAAGGCGUGUCUGUUUGAGGGCACCAUUUAAUAAAUAAUAUGCAGCGUUGUUUUUAUAUAUGACGUGCACACGAUGAUGAGCUUUUUAUGAAUUUUACAUUUUUUGUGGCGCAUAAUGAACAGCUUGAAGCUUUUUUUCAGUUCGAGUUUUGUAAAAUCUUUGCUUGGGUUGUGAAAAGCGUAUUAGCGCUAUGGGUUUGGUUAUUUUUUAUUCUUCCU
rnacentral:misc_RNA from 1 species